ACUUCCGUAACGCUGUGUGCGUAUCCGAAAGAAAAGGGCACUCCACCGGCUUUAAAGUCACCAAGGUGGAUUUUGAAGUUCACCUCCAAAAGGCUUCUGAAUAACACAGAAUGAUGUGGGAUUCCUGGAAGGAUCCACCAUUAAAAGAAAACAAGGAGAAAGGGGGGGGGAACGGUCGCUCUAGAAUUGCCGCCUCCUCCACCUCCCUCUCCCACCUUCGCCCUUUUUUGCCCAAGAGCCUCUGAUGCCAUCUGCACUGCCAAUGGAGGCUCUUUGCCUGUGCCAGGAGGCGGACAAAGACCCUGCCGGAUCCCUGGAGUAUGGGCUUGCACAGAGGAGCCAUCUUGGGAGAUGUUUGCCGUGACACCUAAAAUGGCUGGGCUGGCACACGAGGAUGGGACAGGACCUGCAUCUCUGCACUCUGUAGGACUCUGCUUUGGCAUAAAGACAGCGUGGAAGGAAACUCAUCAAAAUGUCGUCAUGAUUUCAGGAGUCCUAACAGAGCAUAAAAUUUAGAGAGGAUCCGUCAACUGAAACAUGAGUGUACUGUCGAAGUAAAGUAGAAAGCAGCGGGUUUACUUUAAAACACAUUGAUCAAGAUGCCUCUGUUAAUCCCAGAAAACUUAUUUCUUAUGCUCAUUUUAAGACAAUAAUAGUAAUAAGGCAAUAAUGACGUGUGAUUUGACACGUUUAGACAUAUCUAUUGUUUAAAACUGGUAAUAAAACUCUUUUUUUUUUUUGCACUUGAUAAUUUGUGUAUAUUUUCACAGUUAAUUAUUGCUUUUAAAAAAAUAUUAAAUAUAUCCCUCAUGUCUCCAAAAUGCAGUUUGGAUAAAUAUAAAUUGUGUUAUUAUUAUUACUUCUGUCAGUGAGAGCUACUUAAAUAACAGAAUAAAAAAUAUGAAAAUAUCA